CAUACCACCCUAACCACACCCCGUCUCAUCGGAUCAUGGAAGCAAGGUUGAGCCUGGUUAGUACUUGGGUGGAAGAUGAUCUGGGCAUAGCCAGGGAUGA
rnacentral:rRNA from 1 species